ACGUAGGGGGCAAGCGUUGUCCGGAUUUAUUGGGCGUAAAGAGCGUGUAGGCGGUCAGGUAGGUCCAUUGUGAAAACUCGAGGCUCAACCUCGAGACGCCGAUGGAAACCCCCUGACUAGAGUCCGGAAGAGGAGAGUGGAAUUCCUGGUGUAGCGGUGAAAUGCGCAGAUAUCAGGAAGAACACCCGUGGCUAAGGCGGCUCUCCAGUACGGUACUGACGCUGAGACGCGAAAGCGUGGGGAGCGAACAGGA
rnacentral:rRNA from 1 species